GUGCCAGCAGCCGCGGUAAUACGUAGGGACCGAGCGUUGUCCGGAAUCAUUGGGCGUAAAGAGCGUGUAGGCGGCUAUUUAAGUCCUGCGUGAAAUCCUGCGGCUCAACCGCAGACGGUCGUGGGAAACUGGAUGGCUAGAGUGCGGGAGAGGAGAGUGGAAUUCCCGGUGUAGCGGUGAAAUGCGCAGAUAUCGGGAAGAACACCCGUGGCGAAGGCGGCUCUCUGGAACGCAACUGACGCUGAGACGCGAAAGCGUGGGGAGCAAACAGGAUUAGAUACCCUGGUAGUCC
rnacentral:rRNA from 1 species